CUAUGCCCCCCCCCCCCCUCCACCACCACCCCAGGAUUAUGAACUCGACCAAAAUUUAGACGAAAUAAUGCCUUAAGGAGUUACUUGCGUUUGCUUUGAAUGGCACGUCUUUGCACCAACAUAAGAGACCCCAUGAAAUAUUUGACAUUUGGACUACAUUUUGCAAUUUGGAACUACAAUUUCUAGCUCAGUUCGGAGACAACGUAUGUACCAUUAGUUUUCCUAUGCAGAUAAGCGUUUUCACGUACGAGCAAAAAUUUCAAUUCCUUAUUGUAAAAUGUGGUACAUAUCCAUCUUCAAUAACUCCCCCUGAGAAAGAUUUGAACUUCGGGGGAGGGGGCUGAGAGCAAAAAUCUAUUCGAGGGGGUUGAUGUUGUGUUGAAGGAGUGAUUCACGAAGGUGAGAGAGGGGGGUCGAAAAAUCGGAACAAGUAAUUUAAUUAGAAGCUAAAUAGCCCCCUUCCCCGAAGCUCCCUGGGCAGCGUAAGUGUGAAUGAGGGGUUAGCCACCCUCGACGUAGCCGCCAUGCUACACUCCGGUCGUCGCGUCGAGACGUCAGGUCGCGUCGAGACGUCAGGUCGCGCAUCAGUUUCGCGCGCCGGGUCUCACGCGUGGCGCGUCGCGACACGACGUCGCAUAAGUUCGAUAUUAAAUUCGGCCUUGAUCUCCAUGCUUUUUUAAUUAGUAUCAUACUUGGCGUAGAGCGCGCUACUGCACUACUUGCCGAGAAAGAAACGAUAGACGCAGGAUUGGCAAUUUCGAGUGACGCCCGCGCGCCGGAAGGACACUUUCUUCGCGAUCCACGCUCAAAUUUCGGUCUGUGCUCGUCCCUUACCCGUCCGGCAGCAUGAUCGCGGUACCAGGUUCGAUUCCCGGUUUGGUGACGUCACGCCAGCGUCUCUCGAUUUUCGCCGAAACCUGUGCGUCCGGAUAGCGCGUCCUCUCAAUUUGCGAUUGCACUUUGAAUUUCAAGUAGUCAUUUUGAACCAAAUAUGCCGAUUUUGGGAGCUCUCUUCGAUGGAACUAAAUGAAAAUGGAAUUGAUUUGGCGAGUUUGGUGAUAAAAAACUCCCCCGUAACGAACUGGGAUACCACUAUUUGGCUGAAACAUGAUCGACAACGCACAUUUUGUUUAUAUUAUGAUCAUAUUGACAGCUCAAGAUGCUGAUUUAUUCAAAGUCACAUCACUACGAAAGUCAGUAAGUAAGACCCUCAGUUAUACUUACGUAUCUUAAUCAUUAGUUCAUUUCAUUUUUCUUGCAUUUUUUAUUUGACAUAUUCUUGGAUAAAUUAUGCCGAAGGUUAUUUCCUUCCUGCAUGGAUUCUUUUUAACUCUGAAGCGAGCGCGGGGGGGGGGGGGGGGGUGGUUAUUCAAUAUAU
rnacentral:lncRNA from 1 species